rnacentral:rRNA from 1 species
CAGAUGUGAAAGACCCGGGGCCGUCAACCUACCGGAAUUGCAUUGAAACUAGGCAGACUAGAGUACUGUAGAGGGGGGUAGGAAUUUCUAGGUGUAGCGGUGAAAUAGCGUAGAGAUCUGAAGGAAUACCGGUGGCGAAGGCGGCCCCCUCGGACAGAUACUGACACUCAGAUGCGAAAGCGUGGGGAGCAAACAGGAUUAGAUACCCUGGUAG